UACGAAGGGGGCUAGCGUUGCUCGGAAUCACUGGGCGUAAAGCGCACGUAGGCGGGUCUUUAAGUCAGGGGUGAAAUCCUGGAGCUCAACUCCAGAACUGCCUUUGAUACUGAGGAUCUUGAGUUCGGGAGAGGUGAGUGGAACUGCGAGUGUAGAGGUGAAAUUCGUAGAUAUUCGCAAGAACACCAGUGGCGAAGGCGGCUCACUGGCCCGAUACUGACGCUGAGGCACGAAAGCGUGGGGAGCAAACAGGGAUUAAGAAACCCG
rnacentral:rRNA from 1 species